CUACUGAGGAUUCCUCUAUCUAGCCGAGUACAGUUCGACGGUUUUUAUCCUAUUUUAGAUAUUUAAUUCAAAUUCCGAUGCGCAAUUAGGGUUAGCCAUUGUUCGAUUUCAGGGCUCUUUUUCUUUUCUUGUUUUUGAUAGGUUUUUUGAAAGCUAGGCCAGACAAUCAAUCAAUGGAUUAUGAUUAUGGGCAACAGCGGAUGCAAUUUGGAGACAAAAUAUUAGCUUAUAAUGGCGAAGAAGAAGACUAUUAUUAUGACAAUACUCAACAAAAACAGCAAAUGGGCGGUGCAGGCAACGCUAGAAAGCAAUCCCUAAGUCAUCACAAUCGCGACUCUUCUUCUUCCUUCCCUGGAAAACUCUUUGUUGGUGGCGUCUCAUGGGAAACUACUGAAGAGACAUUCAUGGAUUACUUCAGCAAGUAUGGAGAAAUCACCGACUCUGUAAUCAUGAUGGAUAGACAUUCUGGAAGGCCAAGAGGAUUUGGAUUUGUAACAUUUGCUGACCCAGUAGUUGCUAAUAGGGUUUUGGAGGAAGACCACGUUAUAGAUGGCAGAGCAGUUGAAGUGAAGAGGACAGUUCCAAGGGAGGAUAUGGACGUUAAAGGGGUUAUAAGAGCCAAGAAAAUAUUUGUUGGUGGAAUACCACCUGCUCUAACUGAAGAUGAGUUAAAGGAGUACUUUUCUGUUUAUGGAAACAUUGUUGAGCACCAGAUUAUGCUGGAUCAUAAAACUGGGCGGUCUAGGGGCUUUGGUUUUGUCACUUUUGACAGUGAAGAUUCUGUUGAACAGAUCUUCUCAGAGGGCGGGGCACAUGAACUUGGAGGUAAACAGGUGGAAAUAAAGAAGGCUGUACCAAAAAGAAAUGGUGGCGAUUAUGGCUCUGCUGCAAAGCCUCAUUCUGGAUUCAGCAAUGGUGCUGGCCAUGGUUUGGGAGACCUGUAUGGUGGGAAAAUCGGCGGAGGGUAUGGCAUGUAUAAUGGAUAUGGUGGCUACAAUGGUUAUGGAGCUUACGGGGCCUAUGGAAGCAGCAAUGGUUUUUAUGGUGGAUAUGGUUAUGGGUUUGGUUUUGGUGGGCCCAUGAUGUUUGGUAGCAGUGGAUAUGGAGGCAGUGGUUACGGUGCCCCUAGUGGCUAUGGCACCACUGCUGGAUAUGGUGGUGGUAAAGUCUAUGGAAGAAGCAGUGAUACUGGUAGUUUUGGCACUGGUAAGGGAUAUGGAAAUGGAACUGGUGGUGCCUUACAUGGUGGUCAUGGCAGUAGCAAGGGGUACGGGGGCAGUGAGAAUGGUGGUAGUGCUGUUACAGCGAGGUACCAUCCUUACCACAAGUGAAGGGAAUUUUUUAACUUGGCAUCAAAUUCCCAGCCUGUUGUUUGAUAUGAAAGAUUUUCUUUGCAUGCCAAGUCAAGAGUAGGUUGUUUCCAUAGAGUUGCUGCAUAUUCAGUUAUUGCCGAGCUCCAUAUCUAAUUGUGUGAGGUUGUGACUCGGUGAUAGAAUGGAUUUUGUAAUGUGAAAAAGAAAAAUUACAGUAUAGUUUUGAAUUUUGCAGUGCUUGUACUUAGGAUAAUUGGUUUCUUUUAUGGAGUGGGAAAUUGAGAUUUAGAGAAGGAACAACCAAACAAAAGGGUCUCAUGUUUAA
rnacentral:misc_RNA from 1 species